rnacentral:rRNA from 1 species
UACGUAGGUGGCGAGCGUUGUCCGGAUUUACUGGGCGUAAAGAGCGCGCAGGCGGCUGGUCAAGUCCGAUGUGAAAGCUCCCGGCUUAACUGGGAAAUUGCAUCGGAAACUGAUCGGCUGGAAGGUGGGAGAGGGUAGCGGAAUUCCCGGUGUAGUGGUGAAAUGCGUAGAUAUCGGGAGGAACACCAAUAGCGAAGGCAGCUCGCUGGGACGUUACGUGACACUGAGGCGCGAAAGCGUGGGGAGCGAACAGG